AUGAUAAAGGAGAACUUGAAGGUUUUUGUGAUUGGUCUUUGUUUCAGCAUGAUACUCAUUCUGGUUUUUGCACCUCUCACUUGUUCUCUGGUGAUUAAAAGGCUGAAAACAUCAUACUGGCACAGUGUACCCACCCCAGGAAACAGCACUGCACUCCAAGAUAUGACUAAUUGGAAACCUCUUUCAAGGUCACUGCUUCAGGCCCUGUCAGACAAUGAUACCACCAGCCUUUUUGUCAUAGAGCAUGAGUCAAAGGUUUCUCUGACGCUUGACCUCUCCACAGAGGUUGGAGAAGACAAGCAUAACACCUGCCAGUCAGAAAAACCUAGCAAUAACAUAGAUGUGAGCCUGAGGCAUGAAGAAAUCCCUGCAGAAGCAGUUACAAGUGAAGAAGACGCCAUUCCCACGGAAGUAGCAUUCUUGAGUGACUAUGCCAGCAUGGAGUUUAGUCAGAAAGCCCUGAUGAGUCUGGCAGUGAGCACACCUGAAAGAGCUGCUCAUCCUCAUCUGAAAAUGGAACUAAGCAGUAAGCCAGCAAAAACUGUGCAGAAGGUUUUGUUUGCUUCCCAGGACUACCUCAAACAAAGCCAGGUGGUACGUCUGCCAUCUGGACCAAAUUUCAUGGGACAAGUCAAUUAA
rnacentral:lncRNA from 1 species